rnacentral:rRNA from 1 species
GAUGAACGCUAGCUACAGGCUUAACACAUGUAAGUCGAGGGGCGAGCAUGGUCUUAGCUUGCUAAGGCUGAUGGCGACCGGCGCACGGGUGAGGUAACACGUAUCCAACCUGCCGUCUACUCUUGGACAGGCCUUCUGAAAGGAAGAUUAAUACAAGAUAGGCAUCAUGGAGUCCGCAUGUUCACAUGAUUAAAGGUAUUCCGGUAGACGAUGGGGAUGCGUUCC